GACGAACGCUGGCGGCGUGCUUAACACAUGCCAGUCGAACGGAAAGGCCCUGCUUUUGUGGGGUGCUCGAGUGGCGAACGGGUGAGUAACACGUGAGUAACCUGCCCUUGACUUUGGGAUAACUUCAGGAAACUGGGGCUAAUACCGGAUAGGAGCUCCUGCUGCAUGGUGGGGGUUGGAAAGUUUCGGCGGUUGGGGAUGGACUCGCGGCUUAUCAGCUUGUUGGUGGGGUAGUGGCUUACCAAGGCUUUGACGGGUAGCCGGCCUGAGAGGGUGACCGGCCACAUAGGGACUGAGAUACGGCCCAGACUCCUACGGGAGGCAGCAGUGGGGAAUAUUGCACAAUGGGCGGAAGCCUGAUGCAGCAACGCCGCGUGCGGGAUGACGGCCUUCGGGUUGUAAACCGCUUUCGCCUGUGACGAAGCGUGAGUGACGGUAAUGGGUAAAGAAGCACCGGCUAACUACGUG
rnacentral:rRNA from 1 species